AUUUCAUGAUGGGGACAUUCUAGGAUGUAGUCUUGGAAGCGCUCCCAUGCUUCUGGAACAGAUUCAUCAUGUUGUUGCUGAAAAGUUGUAAUUUUCCCAUGGGAAAG
rfam:Sorghum bicolor cultivar BTx623 chromosome 3, whole genome shotgun sequence.